rnacentral:rRNA from 1 species
AGAGCGAACGCUGGCGGCAGGCCUAACACAUGCAAGUCGAGCGCCCGUAGCAAUACGGGAGCGGCAGACGGGAUAGUAACACGUGGGAACGCGCCCUUCGGUUCGGAAUAACUCAGGGAAACUUGAGCUAAUACCGGAUACGCCCUUACGGGGAAAGAUUUAUUGCCGAAGGAACGGCCCGCGUCCGAUUAGCUAGUUGGUGAGGUAAUGGCUCACCAAGGCGACGAUCGGUAGCUGGUCUGAGAGGAUGACCAGCAUCACUGGGACUGAGACACGGCCCAGACUCCUACGGGAGGCAGCAGUGGGGAAUAUUGGACAAUGGGCGCAAGCCUGAUCCAGCCAUGCCGCGUGGAUGAUGAAGGCCUUAGGGUUGUAAAGUCCGUUUUAACGGGGAGGAUAAUGACGGUACCCGUAGAAUAAGCCCCGGCUAACUUCGUGCCAGCAGCCGC